rnacentral:rRNA from 1 species
GUUCGGGUUGUCAUGCCAAUGGCACUGCCCGGUAGCUAAAUGCGGAAGAGAUAAGUGCUGAAAGCAUCUAAGCACGAAACUUGCCCCGAGAUGAGUUCUCCCUGAGACUUUAAGUCUCCUGAAGGAACGUUGAAGACGACGACGUUGAUAGGUCGGGUGUGUAAGCGCAGCGAUGCGUUGAGCUAACCGAUACUAAUGAACCGUGAGGCUUAACCUU